rnacentral:rRNA from 1 species
CAAUAGCGUAUAUUAAAGUUGUUGCGGUUAAAAAGCUCGUAGUUGGAUUUCUGCUGAGAACGACCGGUCCACCCUUUGGGUGUGUAUCUGGCUCUUUCUUGGCAUCUUCUUGGUGAACGUUGCUGCACUUGACUGUGUGGAGCGCUACCAGGACUUUUACUUCGAGGAAAUUAGAGUGUUUCAAGCAGGCAUACGCCUUGAAUACAUUAGCAUGGAAUAAUAAGAUAGGACCUCGGUUCUAUUUUGUUGGUUUCUAGAGCUGAGGUAAUGAUUAAUAGGGAUAGUUGGGGGCAUUCGUAUUUAACUGUCAGAGGUGAAAUUCUUGGAUUUGUUAAAGACGGAUUACUGCGAAAGCAUUUGCCAGGGAUGUUUUCAUUGA